rnacentral:rRNA from 1 species
GCCCAAGAUUGAAAGCUGGCGUCUUCGGCGUCCGCAUUGUAAUCUCAAGAAGUGUUUUCCGCUUCGGACCAAGCCUAAGUCCCCUGGAAAGGGGCAUCAUAGAGGGUGAUAAUCCCGUACAUGGCUUGGAGCGCCCGUAGCUUUGUGAUACACUUUCUAAGAGUCGAGUUGUUUGGGAAUGCAGCUCAAAAUGGGUGGUAAAUGCCAUCUAAGGCUAAAUAUUGGGGAGAGACCGAUAGCGAACAAGUACAGUGAUGGAAAGAUGAAAAGAACUUUGAAAAGAGAGUUAAACAGUACGUGAAAUUGCCAAAAGGGAAGGGUAGGAGGUCAGAGAUGCGGCCUAGGAUUCAGCCUUGCUUUUGCUUGGUGUUUUUCCUAGAUUGCAGGCCAACGUCGGUUUUGGGCACUGGAGAAGGGUGGAAGGAACGUGGCACCUCUCGGGGUGUGUUAUAGCCUUCCACUGGAUACAGCGACCGAGACCGAGGACAGCAGCGUACUCGCAAGAGCGGGCCUUCGGGCACCUUUACGCUUAGGGCGUUGGCAUAAUGGCCCUCUACCACC